CUACGGGGUGCACCAGUGGGGAAUAUUGCACAAUGGAGGAAACUCUGAUGCAGCAACGCCGCGUGGAGGAUGACACUUUUCGGAGCGUAAACUCCUUUUAUAUAGGAAGAAGAUGACGGUACUAUAUGAAUAAGCGCCGGCUAACUCCGUGCCAGCAGCCGCGGUAAUACGGAGGGCGCAAGCGUUACUCGGAAUCACUGGGCGUAAAGAGCGUGUAGGCGGAUUAAAAAGUCAGAAGUGAAAUCCUAUAGCUUAACUAUAGAACUGCUUCUGAAACUCUUAAUCUAGAAUAUGGGAGAGGUAGAUGGAAUUUCUGGUGUAGGGGUAAAAUCCGUAGAGAUCAGAAGGAAUACCGAGUGCGAAGGCGAUCUACUAGAACAUUAUUGACGCUGAGACGCGAAAGCGUGGGGAGCAAGCAGGAUUAGAUACCCGUGUAGUC
rnacentral:rRNA from 1 species